UGGGCCAUGAUCUGACACUUGUCUCUUCUCCAGCCCAGAAAGAAGACGCUGUAGAGGUCUCAUCUGCCCUGGGUGCCAGGAAAGGUUUCAGCAUCCACAUUGACUAGUUCUCUAUCCAUAGACAGGCCCUUAGAUUUAGUAACUGAUCCAGACUCAGCAGUGACAUCAACCUGGAUCCUGUGGGAAGGGAAGGCACCGAGGACAUGGGGCCCCACAGGCCCCUUUCGGGAAUCGGGACCCGGAGUAGCAAACGCGGCUCACCUCCCGCGGACUGGGUACAGAGCCGGGACGCCGACCCCCGCCAGCCUCGCCGGUGAAUUUAAUUUAAGAUUAUGCUGGAUUAUCUUGGCCAAUGUAAUUGCAAGGGUACUUUAAAUGUGGAAGAGGGAGGCAGGGACUCAAUAUCAGAUUGAAGCAUCAUGAGAAAGUCUACACUGGCCAUUGUUGGCUUUGAAGAUGGAAGGAAGCCAAGAUCCAAGAAAUACAGGCUGUCUCC
rnacentral:lncRNA from 1 species